UUUAAAGAGAGUUUGAUCCUGGCUCAGGACGAACGCUGGCGGCGUGCCUAAUACAUGCAAGUCGAACGAACGGAGGAAGAGCUUGCUCUUCCAAAGUUAGUGGCGGACGGGUGAGUAACACGUGGGCAACCUGCCUGUAAGUUGGGGAUAACUCCGGGAAACCGGGGCUAAUACCGAAUGAUAAAGUGUGGCGCAUGCCACGCUUUUGAAAGAUGGUUUCGGCUAUCGCUUACAGAUGGGCCCGCGGUGCAUUAGCUAGUUGGUAGGGUAAUGGCCUACCAAGGCAACGAUGCAUAGCCGACCUGAGAGGGUGAUCGGCCACACUGGGACUGAGACACGGCCCAGACUCCUACGGGAGGCAGCAGUAGGGA
rnacentral:rRNA from 1 species